UACAAUUACAGUACUCCAGGCACCGCGGAGCGGGCUUUGGCACUUUUUUAGACCCCCCACUUUUCUCAACGCUUCGCGCUGUCUGUGCUCUUCAAAUUUUUGCGACGCAACUGAAGGCAUAGCCAAGGGAGAAGAGAACAACGUGGCAAGAGCAUUCCAAAAAGGCACGAUAAAUUCUUCCCAUACAACAUAAGGACACUCAUCUGACUCAAGGGACCAAAAUUUCGUGCAGAAAUUCCUAACUUCAGAGCUCUUACUACUUUAUUAUUAACAAAGGCAUCAGAAGCAGCACAUAAAGGCUUGAAACUAGAAUGAAAAGAGGAGCCUUGAAACCCAGAUGUGAAUACCAUUCAUCGUGAAAGUAUUUCUGAUAUCAUCUCAUUCGCUUACAAUACUUUUUUGGGCUUGAAGACAAAUUCAUGCGUUUCAAAGACGAUCGUUCUCUGAGAAAAAGAUACAUCACGUAAGUAGUGGAAAUUUUGCGAAGAUUAAAAAUCCCUUCACAUCAGCUUUUAGCUGAAAUCGAAGUGGGUUAGUUUAGAAUUUAAUCUUAGAACUGUUUAUACGGUCCCUUUUUAUCUCUUUAUAACAUGCAUCUUACCUCUUUUCAGGAUAUUAUUCAGCGUGGUUGAAUUACCUAAUGACACACAUCAUGCCUUUUAUUUAACUGUCAGAAAGGGUGCAAAUUUAAAUAACUGUACUGUUUCUCGCGCCUAGGAAACUAUAGAUUGUAUGAUUUAAUUAGACUUCAUGUAUAUCGUAGUUUCUCAGUAUUUUAGAGACCUUCCCGCUGUUUCAUGUUUAACGGGCCUAAGUCUUCUAAUAGUAGCUCGUGUAGAUGGGCCUUUCUCAAAUGAUGUUUGAAUAAAGAAUUCCCAAGUUUAUUGUAAAUUAGGUUCAUAUG